GCCCAAGUGGCGAAAUUGGUAGACGCACUGUGUUCAGGUCGCAGCGCCGUGAGGCAUGCUGGUUCGAGUCCAGUCUUGGGCACCA
rnacentral:tRNA from 3 species